UGUGUAGGCGGUUUGGUAAGUCUGGUGUGAAAUCUCCCGGCUCAACUGGGAGGGUGCGCCGGAAACUGCUGGACUAGAGUACGGGAGAGGAAAGUGGAAUUCCUGGUGUAGCGGUGAAAUGCGUAGAUAUCAGGAGGAACACCGGUGGUGUAGACGGCUUUCUGGACCGUAACUGACGCUGAGACACGAAAGCGUGGGUAGCAAACAGGAUUAGAUACCCUGGUAGUCCACGCCCUAAACGAUGCAUAUUUGGUGUGGGCAGUUCAUUCUGUCCGUGCCGGAGCUAACGCGUUAAAUAUGCCGCCGGGGGAGUACAGUCGCAAGGCUGAA
rnacentral:rRNA from 1 species